CACCACUUUAGAUAUAUGGUUUGAAUGUGACCUUGGACUCACCAGGGUCAGCCUUCCUCAACCUCAAGAGUUUUUGGUCUCCAUUCCCAUCAGCCCCAGACAGCACAGCUGCGUUGUCUGGGGCCGUGCAGAGCUGCAGUCCCAAAACAUCUGGCUGCAUCAGGUUGCACUGUGCCUAAGUUUAGAUCGGGAGCAGGGGCUUCUCUUCGGCUUUGCAAACUUCUGAGCAUAUUGAUGGCGGAGGAAAUAAUGGCAGUUUGGGAAUUGGAUUUUUACAUAUGCUCCUAAAUUUACAGCAUAUACAAAACUAACUCACAUUUGCACAUGUAUGGAGAUUGGCAUCCACUUUUCAACCAAUAGUGCUCUCCUAUCCACGCACACCCUGCCCCCACCCCCGAUGCAACUAAUUUAUGGAGGUUUGUACUUUGGGAUGCUACAUUAUUCCAGGCCUGUGCCAAAUCUCUCAGAGCUCAAUAGCCAGCCUGCCGACUUAAAUUAAAGGAUUCAUCAAGCCCCCUUUUUAUUCAUCCACAAUCUGAAUGUGCCCAUUAUUUUGCACUGCCUCCUUUCCCGCCGCUGCCCUUUUCCCCCCUCUCCAGUUCAGUUCAGCUUGAAUUUCAUUACAGCUUUUCUUCCCCCCAUCUCUUUGUAGGCCCGCAUUCAUCACAUUUGUUCUGAAUGGCAAAGUCUCCCUAUCUGCGGGGAAUGUUGACAACAGAUUGUUUCACAAUUAAUUGAAAAGCAAAACCUGGACAUUCUCAAUCACCUGCUGAUGGGAAUUCCUUGGUACAACCUCAGUAAAUCAACGGUGCGUAGCUGCGGAGAGGAAAGGCAGCUCGCGAACAGCCAGCCGUCGCUCCAACCAUAUGAAUGCACAGUGAAAAUCAGGGCUUAGGUGGGAGUAGAGAGCCUUCGGAAGAAAGAUCCCUCUCCUCCACCAAAGCUUGAGUGUGACCAAGGAGAUGUCAUUUGGCCUGGCGGAGACAGCUCAGCAGGGUUGCCAACUUUUCUGUGAGUUUUGCUCUUAUGCAUUUAACAUCAAACCCAAGGAUAGCUAUUACACACGGGCAAAAAAGAAAGACACAGAGGUUUGCAUAUGCUAAGGUAAAGGUAAAGGGACCCCUGACCAUUAGGUCCAGUCAUGGACGACUCUGGGGUUGCGGCGCUCAUCUCGCUUUAUUGGCUGAGGGAGCCGGCGCACAGCUUCCAGGUCAUGUGGCCAGCAUGGCUAAGCUGCUUCUGGCGAACCAGAGUAGCGCAUGGAAACGCCGUUUAUCUUCCCGCUGCAGCGGUGCCUAUUUAUCUACUUGCACUUUGACGUGCUUUCGAACUGCUAGGUGGGCAGGAGCAGGGACCGAACAACGGGAGCUCACCCUGCCACGGGGAUUCAAAACGCCGACCUUCUGAUCGGCAAGGCCUAGGCUCUGUGGUUUAGACCACUGCGCCACCUGCGUCCCUGGAUGCUAAGGUACAAACGCACAUUUAGAAGCAACAGCUACAAUUUAAACAGAAAUACAAUACAUAGAGGGGGAAACCAGGUGUUCUGUGCUAGUGACAGAGUAUAUGCUACCACUGCCAGGGGUGUGUGGGUGGGGAAACACCCGCCCCCCGAGAGGGGCAGGAUGUGGAGGGAGCCCGUGGUGGGAGCACCAGGCUAGCCCCCACUGCUGCUUCAAGGGCGCCUUGCAAAGCAGCACGGGGAGCACCUCCUCUUCUCUCCUUCUCUCUGCCCUCAGGUCAGACCUGACCCAGGAAUGGAGCUAUGGCCGACUGGCUGCGUUGGGCCCUUGUGCGAGGGAGCUGACUCCCUUGCACAUUGGAGUCAGGCCCCGGAGGCUCAGCCCGGCCGCGGCUUCCCUCCCCAUGGCCUUGAUGAGAUAGCCUGCUGUGAACUAACCUGAACACACACCCUCAAAAAAAUUUGCCCAUGGGUCAUGCCCCCCCAAGCUAUUCCACUCUUCCUUGUGCCAUCCAUCUCAGUUGGCUGUUUAGGUGCUGACUGUGGCUGUGCCCCUCCUGAUCUCCUGCUGGAAGAUAUGACUGAGUUGUGAAUGCCAUAAAGUCCAAUAUGAGACUUAGAACUUAAACUACUUCAGAUAAGCUUGAGAUUCCUGCAUCGCAGGGGGUUGGACUAGAUAACCCUUGGAAUCCCUUCCAACUCUACGAUUCUAUAGUCUCAGAGGCAGCUUCUUCUAGAUCAGCGGCUCUCAACCUGUGGGUCCCCAGAUGUCAUUGGACUACAACUCCCAUCAUCCCUGAGCCCUUGCUAGCUAGGAGUGAUGGGAGUUGUAGUUCAACAACAGCUGGGGACCCACAGGUUGAGAAAGGUGAACCUUACUGUGUGAUAAGAUCUAGGAGGAAGGCUGGCUCAGAGUAUCACUGUCACAUAGGUUCAGCUGACAGCAAAGAGAAGAAUAUUUUGUCUGUAAUGGCCCCCAAAGCUAAGGAAUAAUUGUACUGACAAGGUUUAGUAAGCAACCUCCAAUUUAGCAAGUUCUGAGUUGAAUUAGAGCAAGGGGGUUGCAAAAAAGCACCCUUCUCUCGUUUACACCUCUUUUACACCCCUUUAAAAAGAGGCAAAAUGUUUGCAAAGGUAUAUGUCUCUUGCAGCGCCAGCCCAAAGUGUCUUAAUGCCUACAGUGAAGGACAAUAUGAUAGUGUCUCCUAAUUCCAUGCACAGAAGCUAACUGAAUUGGCAGCUUCCUCAUGGUUACAGGAUGAUAUUAUGCAUCAUAUAACAGAAAAACAUGGCUGGGGGCUCAUAAGGAGCUGAUAUUACUGCCCCAAGCAUCUCCAGCCCAAGGCGGUUGCCUCACUCUGCCUUAUGUUAGGGCAAACCCUGAGUCGCUUGUCUGACUGUGAAUAACCUCCAAGCGUAACAGCAACUUGCCCCAUGGUGUACCGUGACCUUGUACUAAAGACCCAGGAAUACAUGCGUUCAUUAGGUCAAUGCAUGCACAUGAAUCUGUGUACACAUGUAGGCAAGGACAUUAAAAACCCCCAGCAACCUUGCUGACACUCUUUCACUGCAAAUUAGUUGCAUCCUCCUGACAUUCAGCAGAAGGCAGAUGAGGAUGCCCAUCUCAUAAUACGGUCUGGAUGGUUGACAUUCACAGUUGGCUAUGCAUCUAAAUGCAAUGGUGUUGAGCUGCAUUGAACGCCUUUUAAUGGGAUGCACAUUCAGUGAUCCUUCAAGUGCACAUUCCCAUCACCAUCUUGUGCAACUAGAGCAGGACCAAGUUAUGGAGAUCUUGCCCUGCAGUGCUGGUGGGCAACAAAAUGGCCAGUACAGUCUAGCAAGGCAAGGAGUGCUGGCCCAAUAGCCUUAGCAACUGGAACAAUUUCCCUCUGCCACCCAUUCACAGUGAGGGCAGUGAGAGUGAGCUCUGCUCGUCCUCCCUAUCGUCAGGACAAAUCUGAUUGGCUACCUGGUGAAUGUCACCACCACAUUCAUCCUGUGAUCACUGAUUGGUUGGAAUCACAGUGGAAGAGAAAGAAACUCUAAUAUCAUUAUAUUAGGACUUCAGACAGGCAUGAGGGGGAAAACCUAAAGGUUUGGCCUUUUACUGCGGAGGAAAUUGCUAUGGUUGAAGAAGAUUUUAAAAGGACCUUCUUUACCCCACAAAACCCUCAGAAAUGCUCUUUUUCUUUUUAACUUUCCCAAAGGUAUUCAAAACCCAUCUCAUCAGGACAAAAUUUGGAUACUGAAACUAAUGCUGGCUAGUUGCAAGUUUCCAGGGCGGCGGCGGUGGCGGAGGGGUCUGUGUCUACAUUCUUUUGCAUGUUGAAGAUUUUGUGGGCAUCGUGAAAAUCA
rnacentral:lncRNA from 1 species